AUGGAAAGUUUUUGAACUACGUGCUGUCAGGAAUGUGGCUGACAACACGGUGACCUGGAUCUGCCUCCAGGGGUGCUGGCAGAACAGGGUUCUCAUGCAGGGUUAGGAGAUGCACGGAAUUCAAGGCCUCCAAGUGACAGUUAGCAGAACCUGAAUGGGCUGCUCAUCGAGGAAAAAGCCCUGAUGGAGUCCAGGAACUCAAGUCCCAGUUCUGGUUCCCUCGUCAUUCAGCUGUGCCAUCAUGGGCACAUCACUUAGCCUCACUGGAGUUCAGUUUCCUCAGUAGUAAAAUGUGGUAAGCAAAUCUCAAUUCAGACCAGCCACACUCCAGUGCUCUACAGCCACCUGUGGCUCAUGGCCUGUACUAGACAGUGCAGCUGGAACCCAAUGGAUGAUUUUUUAAGGUCCCACUUGUGUCCCUUACUCAUCUACAGGCUCCGUGAAGUCAGAUAUCAAACAUUUCCAUUGCUACAUUCUCCAGGCCUAAUCUGGAUCCUCCCAGAGUGGCUCUUCAGUGAACAUCUACUGAAUUGAACAGACAUGCACAGAGCAGAUGGACAGCACUAGGGACUUGUCCUCUGGCCCCAGAGGCCCAUGAAAGAGUAUCCAGGCAGGCUGGACUAUGCCGGGAAGGGGGAAAGCCUGGGCCCUCAUCAAAAGGGAAGGACCCCAAAAGGAAGAGAAACCCAUCAACACCCUGUUAACUAAAUGGAGAGAAAUGCAGUUUAGGAAAAAAGAAAAAAAAAAAAACAUGAUAAAUAAAAUUCCUGAGAGCAGCUGCUAA
rnacentral:lncRNA from 1 species